UGUUCGGAGAGUUUGAUCCUGGCUCAGGACAAACGCUGGCGGGGUGCAUGAGACAUGCAAGUCGCACGGGGUUGAUCGGGCUUGCUCGAUCAACCUAGUGGCGAACGGCUGAGUAACGCGUAGGUGACCUACCCGGAAGUGGGGAAUAACUGCCCGAAAGGGUGGCUAAUACCGCAUGUGGUCGGCGAAUCGGAUCGCCGUCCAAAGCCGAAAGGCGCUUCCGGAGGGGCCUGCGUCCGAUUAGCUAGUUGGCGAGGUAACGGCUCACCAAGGCGACGAUCGGUAGCUGGUCUGAGAGGAUGAUCAGCCAGACUGGGACUGAGAACGGCCCAGACUCCUACGGGAGGCAGCAGUCGGGAAUUUUGCCCAAUGGACGAAAGUCUGAGGCAGCAACUCCGCGUGAGGGAUGAAGGCUCUAGGGUCGUAAACCUCUUUUCUCAGGGAAGAUCCAAGACGGUACCUGAGGAAUAAGCCACGGCUAACUACGUGCCAGCAGCCGCGGUAAUACGUAGGUGGCGAGCGUUGUCCGGAUUUACUGGGCGUAAAGCGCGCGCAGGCGGCCGGCCAAGUCCGAUGUGAAAUCUUCCGGCUUAACUGGAAAACGGCAUCGGAUACUGGUCGGCUGGAAGGUGGGAGAGGGUAGCGGAAUUCCCGGUGUAGUGGUGAAAUGCGUAGAUAUCGGGAGGAACACCAGUGGCGAAAGCGGCUACCUGGCCCACUCUUG
rnacentral:rRNA from 1 species